rnacentral:lncRNA from 1 species
GUUUAUCCAAGACACCAGUGACUGCUGAUGUGCUCUUUUUUGUAGCCAAGGAAGAGGACUGGGACAGAUCUAAGUCUGUCUGAUUCAGAACCUGUGCUGAAAAACACGUUGACUGGACAGGCAAAGGUGGUAUGUUCUUCGGUCUUAGGAAGUUUAUCUGUACCAUACUUACAGCACUGCAGCAUGAUUCUGAUGUCUGAAGGAACUCUUGAAGUUGCAAGCAUGAAUCAGUGUUAGUUUGGACAGUGGCAUCAGAGAUAGGAAGAAUCUGUCCCAAUGUGUUUCAGUAAUAUGAAGAAACUGGACAAAACAUGGAAAUAAAACCCUUUACAUGAAUAUUCA